rnacentral:rRNA from 1 species
GACGAACGCUGGCGGCGUGCUUAACACAUGCAAGUCGAGCGGUAAGGCCCUUUCGGGGGUACACGAGCGGCGAACGGGUGAGUAACACGUGGGUGACCUGCCCUCAGCUCUGGGAUAAGCCUGGGAAACCGGGUCUAAUACCGGAUAUGACUCCAUGACGCAUGUUGUGGGGUGGAAAGCCUUGUGCGGCUGAGGAUGGGCCCGCGGCCUAUCAGCUUGUUGGUGGGGUGAGGCCUACCAAGGCGACGACGGGUAGCCGGCCUGAGAGGGCGACCGGCCACACUGGGACUGAGACACGGCCCAGACUCCUACGGGAGGCAGCAGUGGGGAAUCUUGCGCAAUGGGCGAAAGCCUGACGCAGCGACGCCGCGUGAGGGAUGACGGCCUCGGU